AUGUUUUUGAUCAAAAACCUAGUAAGAAUCUCGCCGACUACUUCAUCGGUCGGAAACGUGUUCAGAAACCCUGAAUCCUACACUCUCUCUUCCCGUUUCUGUACCGCUCUGCGAAGGCAACCACAAGUGAGCGAGACGGUUCAAGCAAAGGAGGAUGUAGCUAAUAAUAAUGGGUUGGAGUUGGAGCCACAACGUUACGACGGUUUGGCUCCGACUAGAGAAGGAGAGAAGCCGAGGGUUCUGGUUCUCGGGUCGGGUUGGGCGGGUUGUCGUCUUAUGAAAGGGAUCGAUACGAGUAUUUACGAUGUCGUUUGUGUGUCUCCUAGGAACCACAUGGUCUUCACCCCUCUCUUGGCUUCUACUUGUGUCGGUACGCUUGAGUUUAGGUCCGUUGCUGAGCCAAUCUCUCGUAUCCAACCGGCGAUUUCAAGAGAACCCGGUUCUUAUUACUUCCUCGCUAAUUGCUCUAAACUCGAUGCUGAUAAUCAUGAGGUGCACUGUGAGACGGUAACUGAGGGAUCAAGCACAUUGAAGCCAUGGAAGUUCAAGAUCGCUUAUGACAAACUGAUUCUAGCUUGUGGUGCAGAAGCAUCCACAUUUGGAAUUAAUGGAGUCUUAGAAAACGCCAUCUUCCUCCGUGAGGUUCACCAUGCUCAGGAGAUUCGUAGGAAGCUUCUUCUUAACCUCAUGCUCUCUGAAGUUCCAGGCAUAUCACAAGGAGAGAAGAAGAGGCUGUUGCAUUGCGUUGUGGUUGGAGGUGGGCCGACUGGUGUCGAGUUUAGUGGUGAAUUGAGUGAUUUCAUCAUGAAAGAUGUUCGCCAGAGAUAUGCUCAUGUCAAAGACGACAUUCGUGUUACUUUGAUUGAGGCAAGGGAUAUACUUUCUUCUUUCGAUGAUCGACUCAGGCACUAUGCAAUCAAGCAGCUAAACAAGUCUGGAGUGAAGCUUGUGCGUGGGAUUGUGAAAGAAGUAAAGCCUCAGAAGCUAAUUCUUGAUGAUGGCACCGAAGUUCCUUAUGGACUCUUAGUCUGGUCCACUGGUGUUGGUCCAUCUUCAUUUGUGAGGUCUCUUGGUUUUCCAAAAGAUCCAGGUGGCAGGAUUGGAAUUGAUGAGUGGAUGCGUGUACCUUCUGCACAAGACGUGUUUGCGAUUGGUGACUGUAGUGGUUACCUUGCGAGCACAGGGAAAUCAACACUUCCUGCUCUUGCACAGGUGGCUGAGAGAGAAGGCAAAUACUUGGCGAAUCUGUUGAACGUGAUGGGAAAAGCUGGAGGUGGAAGAGCCAUGAGUGCAAAAGACAUGGAACUUGGAGAACCAUUUGUGUACAAGCAUUUGGGAAGUAUGGCUACUAUUGGAAGAUACAAAGCUCUCGUUGAUCUCCGUGAGAGUAAGGAAGGAAAAGGAAUAUCAAUGGCAGGCUUUGUGAGCUGGUUCAUAUGGAGGUCUGCGUAUCUGACUCGAGUCGUCAGCUGGAGAAACCGUUUCUAUGUCGCUAUCAACUGGCUCACCACUUUUGUCUUUGGUCGUGACAUUAGCCGAAUCUGAUCCAGUGAUCCUAAUCUCCUCUCAUUCGCCACGCACUUGCUCUGUCUCUCUCUGUUGUUCACUUUAUAUAACACCUCUAAUCCCGAAAUCAUCUCAAACGGUGUCGUUCUAUGCAAUGAGAAGAUGGUUUAAUACAUCUGAAUUUGGAAGUUGGGAAUAGGACAAAAAAAUUUGGGAGAAAUAUAUCCUAAACUCAAAAUGCCAAAAAGAGCUGUGGCAAAUUGGUACUCCUACACAAACCUA